rnacentral:rRNA from 1 species
CAGGUUGAUAGGUCAGAGGUGGAAGCACGGCGACGUGUGUAGCUGACUGAUACUAAUCGAUCGAGGACUUAACCAAAUU